rnacentral:rRNA from 1 species
GAAUGAACGCUGGCGGCGCGCCUAAUACAUGCAAGUCGAGCGAGAAGACGUAGCAAUACGUUUGUAAAGCGGCGAACGGGUGAGGAAUACAUGGGUAACCUACCCUAGAGUGGGGAAUAACUAGCCGAAGGUUAGCUAAUACCGCGUACGCUCCUUGGACUUCGGUUCAGGAGGAAAGCGAUACCGAGGGUAUCGCGCUCUUGGAUGGGCUCAUGUCCUAUCAGUUUGUUGGUGAGGUAACGGCUCACCAAGGCUUCGACGGGUAGCUGGUCUGAGGGGACGAUCAGCCACACUGGCACUGCGACACGGGCCAGACUCCUACGGGAGGCAGCAGUAAGGAAUAUUGCGCAAUGGGCGAAAGCCUGACGCAGCGACGCCGCGUGGGGGAUGAAGGUCUUCGGA